UACGUAGGGGGCAAGCGUUGUCCGGAAUCAUUGGGCGUAAAGAGCGUGUAGGCGGUUCGGUAAGUCGGCUGUGAAAGUCCAGGGCUCAACCCUGGGAUGCCGGUCGAUACUGCCGGACUAGAGUUCGGAAGAGGCGAGUGGAAUUCCCGGUGUACGCGGUGAAAUGCGCAGAUAUCGGGAGGAACACCUAUGGCGAAGGCAGCUCGCUGGGACGUUACUGACGACUGGAGACGCGAAAGCGUGGGGAGCAAACACGG
rnacentral:rRNA from 1 species